GUGUGAGGCUCAGCCAUGCCCUUCAUUUAUAUGCAGCACAGGGCUUUGUUCCAGGAAAAGCACUGUUAAAUUUGCAUGUUAGGAGCACGUGUGUGUGAUCUGCUUUCACAUUGUACUGCAGUUUUGACUAAUGAGUGUUUUGCUUUUCCUUCAAAGCCCUGUCUGCGUCACAGAGUGCAGUGCACAGGGCAGGUUAGCAGGAUGGAGAAGGUCAGUGCAAAUCUCCAAGGAAUAACAUUUCCACUGUAAUGAAACACCUUUUUUUUUUCAGAAGACUCAGAAGCAAUUCACACACCAAACACGAGCAGUGAGCUGGGUAACACAGCAUUAGAAGUUGUUAUGAAUGAAUGUUUGAGAUUGCUUAAAGAAUCACCAGCAAAGGUGAAAGGCUGUGCUUUGAGGAGUGAAGGGAUCAGCCCAGGAUCUAUCAUCGUUCAGUGACCCCCUGAGUACAGCAAACCUGAGAGUUCUCUGGCUCUGAGAAGCCUCACUCAGAGGGAUUUUGCUGCCAUCCAGGAGACCCCAAAGGGCCUCACUUUGGACCAUUGUUCAUAGGCCACAAGAGAGAGGGCUUUAGUCAUAA